GAGAUGUACAUUGAACUUCGAACCCUUUUCAAAUGAUUUUUAAUCUGUUUUUAAAUCUUUUGAAGUUUUUCUUGAUUCUAUCAAAAAUCAAGUGGCGACUCCGAUUUUGAAGGUCGGUUUUUCUUAAACAAUAAGAUUAAUUGAUUUUUCGAAACCUAGUCAAUUUUUUCUCAUUUAAACCAAUAAUCAGUAGUAUUUUUAUUUUUUUAAGUAAAACAAUUGCUACGGAGAAGAAAGAAAAAAAUAAGAACAAUUUUUUAAAAAAUAAAUAUAUUUAUUGAAAAGAGAUAUUUUUAAAAAAAUGUUAAUAUUGUUUUGGCUGCUCACUCUCUCAAAGAGAGUGAAAUACACUCACUUUGCCAGGUAAGCAUUUAGGGAGUUAAUAAUUUUAGUUUUAUAAAUCCAGGGGGCUAAUAGGGCCCUCGUAAAGUAUGAAUGUGUAAUUAGGUACCGUCUAUAGAUUAGAGGGGCUAUUGACCAUUUUCUCUAAAUUUUGUUUACAUGUUUUAAAAAAAAUAUAAACUCGUGGAUCAUUUUUUUGUAUUUUUAAAAAAAUUCUAAGCAUGAUAUGAAAUUCCCAAAUCAUGAUUUUUUUGGAGAGUAUGAGAUUUUAUAUGAAACACUCCAAAAAUACAAUUACCUAGGCUAGAGCCUAACAUAAUGAAUAAUGACUUAAAAAUGAUUAAACGAUGUCUCUUGACCUAAACUAAUGUAAUUAACAUGAUUUUGAAGUAUUAGAGCAUAAACGUCAAGAAACGACCAUGAUGUCUAGAAACUAGUGAAAUUGAUCUAGUAGGUGUUCUUAGGUCUUGUGAUGGCUUGAGAGUGUCGCAUGAAGGACAAAUCUCGUAAAAAUACAUUAAAUAGGUAAAAAUAUAUUUUUAGGAUCAAAAUAUUCAGGUUCUAAUCCCAAAAUUAAUUUCGUGAAAACUUCUGGGAACACCUCUGCAACACAGAUUUAUUCCGCGAUGAAAACUCCAAAAAAGUCAAGUUAGACUCAAUUAUAAAGUCCAACCAAGUGAGGGUGUUUUGGGUAUUUUAUAGGAUUAGUAUAUUGACUUUAAGUCAUUUUACACUCAUUCCCACAUUAAAACAAAUCCCCAAAUUAAAAAUCCAAUUGCUCUCACUUCUCUAUAGAUUGUUUCACUACACAACGACCCCUUUGAAGAAGAUGAUUAAGAUUCAAGUAGGGCUCAAGGACAAGUAUUUUCUCCAUUAAUCUUUAAGGAUUGACAAGGAUCGGCCAUUGAGUUGAUUCAACGCCAUUUUCUUAAGAAGCUUGGAUUGUUUCCCAGGUUGGUGAGUCCUCAAGUUCGAGGACAAAAUGAUUCUAGCUUUAGUUGUUUUGCUUAUAUUAAAAUACAUUGUUCUACUUAUCCUAUUUAAAGGGCUUUGUUGUAAAAAUUUUUAUAAGACUUGUAAUUAUGUAAGGUCUAAGUCCAAUAUCAUACUCUUAUGUCUAGAUGGCAAUAUGAGACAAGUUAUCUUUCUAUUUUGAUAUAUGAAGUGAAAUUGAACUUCAAAUUAAAA